rnacentral:lncRNA from 1 species
GCAUAAUAUACGAUUCCUUCAAGAAAUUCUUCAAAAUAGGAAGUCAGAUUUCCUUGAAUGGCUUAUUAUUAUACUGAUUGGUGCGGAGAUCCUCAUCUCUGUUUAUGACAUUGCCCAUAAGUCAUCAAUCGCUCUGUAGGUAUAACUAGCUUCUGAAGUUGUUGGAAACUUGAAAUAUGGCAUCGUACUCUAAUUAUGGCGUGGAGUUUGUUGUACAUAGGAAAUCCUCAAAUAAUAUAUCGAUCUAUAUGCUAUACGACACUUGUCUUUCUUAAUUGUAAAUGCAUUAUCACUUUACACUAGGGAAAGUAUACAUCAUUUAAGCUUGGUGCCUUGAAAUGGGGGGCUAUGAAUUUAGAGGAAAUUGCAUAUUUGGUACCUUUCUCCUGUAAGUAUUUUUUUGAUUUGGGUUUCGUGCUCAUUUUUGUUUUGACAAUUUGACAUUUUCCGAGUGCGAUGAAUUCAUAUUAGUUCUCUCUAUAAAAAUUAUUGUACGAACUGUGAAGUAUAUAAGAAUGCACCCAUUUUUAAUAAAUAAUGAGUGAUAAGUUAGCUCAGACUUCGGGUUCUAUGACUCAUGCUAUGUAGUGGAUAAUAGAUCCCCAUCUUUGAUUCAUGAUUUAAUCAAUCAUUAAUUAAAAUGCUUGUUUAAAAAAAAAAUAUGUAAAAAGUUAAAAUUAAGUUUGAAUCUACAUACAAUUAUAUAUAUCUGUAAUUCGCUUCGCCUUGCAUUAGUUUUAAAAAAACUCACUUCAAUCGUCAUCCAUUCCUCUGGCCCUGCACAAUUUUAAAUACGCCCCGCUCAGCAUAGGCUUAAACUUACCCCGCCAUGCCCCAAUCCCUACCGUUAAGAGUCCAGUGGUUUAGCCAUCUUGAAAGAGUCAAAUUAAAUUCACUUGUGUGUUUGGUAGAAGGAAAAAUAUAUAUUUUUUGGAAAAUAUUUUCUUAGAAAGUGGUUUAAAGAGUAAUUUUCCUAUAUAGUCACCCAUGUUUGAGAAAUUACCUAGUAGUAUCAUUUUGUUUGUUUUAAGACACUAUAAUGUGAUCCAACUAUAUAUAUUUUUCUCAAAAUAUACUUGAAACAAAAAAAAUUCUCCUCUCUCCUAAUGGAUGUCGUAUCACAUUAUUCCCUUUUUAUUAAUAAUACAUUUAAUUAUUUUUUUUUAACAAUCCACAUGUUAUACUUGGUAAAAAAGAAAAAUUACAUAGUGCAAAGUGAACAUUUUUAAACAAUCAUAUUUAUUUUCUGUUAUUACGGUUAACAUUAAUUAUUUAUUCUAAAUCAUGUUUCAAAUUAUUCUUUCUUUAAGUUCUUAAAGAAUGUGUAAGGUGAACAUUAAAAACAAGUAAAAGUGAAAAAAAAAGAAAAAAAAAGUAACAUUAGAGAACAAUUUUCAUGUAUUCAUAAAAAAUCAAGAGUAUUAUAUCAACUAACUCAUUUUACGGACUUUUUUUCCUAGCAAUUAUUCUCUUUGUCUAUUUUAAUUAUUCAUUUUUACUUGUUUACAUUAGAAAAUCAAGAGAUAAUUUCUUACUUAAUUCAUAAUUCACUCUUAUUAUUAGUUAUAGUCAUUUGUCAAUGCAUUUUUUUUAAAUCUUAAAUUUAUUAUAUUCAGAGAUUAAUAUAGUAAAAUACAUAAAAUCCCCCUCAAACUUGUCUGCAAAACUCACUUUAGCACUAUGACUUUACGGACCUUUAAAUACCCCCUUAAUUUUUUUUCAAGUGAAUUAAAUACCACCUUAUAUAUAUUAUACCAGUUUCACGGUUGGGAGGUGAUAUACACGUGCGCCACAUCAGUGACACAGUGAAAUAAUUUAGUUUUCAUUUCUUUUUUUUUUCCAUGUCAUUUUUUGUAUUUAGUUUUCAUUUCUUUUUAUUUCUUCCAUAUUACUUUUUGUCCUCAUUUUCCCUCUUCACUCAUCUUCUUUAUUGUUCCAUCUUCUCCAUUAUAAUACUAAAAUUAAAGUUCCCUAGGGUAGAAAACUAACACACAACAUGAUUUCUAAUAAUUUAACAAAUAUUAUGUAAAACAGAGGAAAAAAGGAGCGAUACAUAUAUUAUCAUCAUUGAACAAGAGUUGCUAGUGCUUCAAUGGCAACUAUCGGCGACUGCUUCAACGACAAUUACAUGAGUCAUGGUUGUUAUAUUAGGCUCAAAAUUGAUAGCUCUGAAGGUUUUCAGACCUUUUACCAUGGUUGCCGAAAAAACGAAAACACAUAAAAAGACAAAAAAGAAAAUAGGAAGAAUGGAAGAAAUCCAAGAUAAAGGUAUGCCCGGCGUUUUGUCCAGUUCAGUGGCGUGGUGAAAUUUUUUGGCAAUAUCUGAUGGUUUCACGACACCUAGUCUCUUUGCGGAGCAGUGAUGAAGGGAGUGGCAGCGAGGUCCUUCAUGUUGGUCUGUGAUUGCCAUCAAGAUUGUUUUCUGGAGGUCCGGCCAUAGCGGAAAUAGAGAGAGCUAAACAAUUUGAGAGAAAGGAGAUGAAACAGGCGUUGAAUGAAGACAAAGUGGGAUCCACUUAUUUUCUUUUUAAAUUUCAUGCUAUUUACGCGCCUAGAACUUUUUUAUUUGCCACGUCUGCCAUUAAAGUGGUAUUUAAUUCACUUGAAAGUUUUUAAGGGGUACUUAAACGUCCGUAAAGUUAUAGUGCUAAAGUGAGUUUUGCGGACAAGUUUGAGGGGGAUUUUAUGUAUUUCCUCUUUCUUAAGUGAUGUGUCAAAUUAAUACUGAACAAGUAAAGAUGAACAGAAGGAGUAGAAACUAAAUUUCCUCUAUAGAGAGAUUCUAGAACUAAAGUAAUUAUAACAAGCGUAGUUUAAAGGAAAAAGGAAAAAAAUUAUUAUUAAAAAAUAAGAAAUAAUAUGACAUGACACCCCAUUAAUAGUGUGCACUUGACAUAUUCUUUAAGAAAUUAAAGAAUGAAUGAUUUGAGAAAUGAUUUAGACUAAAUAAUUAAUGCUAAAUGUAAUAGUAGAAAAAAAAUUCUAUCUCUUACUAUGCUAAAGUAAACAACUAAAAAUGAUAAAUAAUUUAGAUUUUUUUUUGCUGAAUGGAGUAUAACAUAUGGGUGUUUUAAGAAGUUUAUUUUUUUUUAUUAUUAAUAAAAAUUAAAUAAUGUGACGUGGCAUCCCAUUAGGAAAGAGAUUUUUUAUUUAUUUUGUGUCAAGUAUAUUUUGAAAAUAUGUAAAGUUGGGUGAUAUUGUAGUCAUAAAACAAACAAGAGUAAUAUUACUAGGUAAUUUUCCAAACAUGAGUGACUAUCUAGAAAAAUUACUCGUGUUUUAAACAAGUGGAUUUCAUACUAACUUUUUAGUGUUUGGUAAAUAAAAAAAAUAUUAUCUCGAGAACAUUUAUAUGUAGGGGUGUCAAAAUGAGUCCAAAUAUAGGUAACCUGCCCAAUCAGUCCAAACUUAUAGUUUGGGCUCAAUAUAAUUUGAAUUCGAUUCAAUUUCAAUCAAUUCAAGCCCUAACCAAUUUUAAAAGAAUCUUCAUUUGAGCCUAAUUUAAUCUCCUAUUCCAACCCGUUUUAAGACUUUUUAUUGACAUUGAUGUAAUAUAUGUCCCUAUAUAUAUAUUGAAUGUAUGAAUUAUUAUCUAUUUUUAUAUUUUCUAGGAUUUAUUGAUUCAAUUUUCUUGAAUUGAAAUUCAAAUUGUGCUUAUAAUUUUUUAAUAAUAAUAUAUUAAAAUUAUUGAGAUUAAGCGGGUCAAAUUGGGCGGAUCAUGAUCCAACCGUUUUCUACUUCAAUCCAUUUUAAUAUCUCAACUUUCAACUCAAUCCACCUAUUUGACACCCCAAUUUAUAUGUUAUUUAGCAAAAUACUAUAAAUGAGGGAUGAUAUGGGGAGGGGGGGGGGGUUUGGGGAUGGGAUGAUCAAGGGGUAGGGGUUGAGGGAUCAGGCGGAUAGGAAAGAGACAAUAAAUUUAGA